AUACGGAGGGUGCAAGCGUUAAUCGGAAUUACUGGGCGUAAAGAGCACGUAGGCGGCUAGGUAAGUGACAGGUGAAAUCCCUCGGCUCAACCGAGGAACUGCCUUUCAAACUGCCUGGCUUGAGUCUGGGAGGGGAUAGUGGAAUUCCUGGUGUAGCGGUGAAAUGCGUAGAUAUCAGGAGGAACACCUGUGGCGAAGGCGGCUAUCUGGACCAGUACUGACGCUGAGGUGCGAAAGCGUGGGGAGCAAACAGGAUUAGAUACCCGGGUAGUCC
rnacentral:rRNA from 1 species